UAGUCUGCAACUCGAGUACAUGAAGCUGGAAUCGCUAGUAAUCGCAAAUCAGAAUGUUGCGGUGAAUACGUUCCCGGGCCUUGUACACACCGCCCGUCACACCAUGGGAGUUGGAAGCACCCGAAGUCGAUGACCUAACCGCGAGGGAGGAGUCGCCGAAGGUGAAGCCAGUGACUGGGGUGAAGUCGUAACAAGGUACC
rnacentral:rRNA from 1 species